AUGAAACUUAUAAUUGACUAUGCUUUUCUCAUUCUUAUUCAAAACACAAGAAAACAUAGUGGUCAAUGCUUUUACCUGGGUGGAAAUUCUCUCUACCAUUUCAAAACUUUAGGCUCAAACUCAUCUUUCUCAUUUCUUUUUUUUUUGUAUACCAUAUCAACUUCCCUAUCGUCUCAUACUUCUUCCUCUGCUGCAUCCAGGAGGAGAAGUUGUUGGCUAAGAAGGAAGAUCAAUUUUCUCUUGAUUCUGCCAUUAAUGAACUCAACCCAUGUGUAUAGUGACACCAAAUUUGAUGGUGAAUCUCUCUUCAAGAUUUUCAGGAACAUUCUCGAAAUUGGUGAAAAAGGACUAGUCCACCGUGAUUUUGGAAUGUAA